GAUGAACGCUAGCUACAGGCUUAACACAUGCAAGUCGAGGGACCGGCGCACGGGUGAGUAACACGUAUCCAACCUGCCCUUUACGCGGGGAUAGCUUUUCGAAAGAAAGAUUAAUACCCGAUAUAAAGGAUGGGGAUGCGUUCCAUUAGGUUGUUGGUGAGGGACCGGCUCACCAAGCCUUCGAUGGCUGGGGGUUCGGAGAGGAAGCUCCCCUAGAAUGGAACCACGACCCGGUCCCAACUCCUACGGAAGGCAGGAGUGAAGUAUACUGGUGACUGAGCGCUAGCCUGAACCUGCCAAGUAGCUUGAAGGAGGAAGGCGUAGGAGUCGUAAACUUGUGGUAAAGAAGAAGCUGUAUUAUAUGAAGAAGGAUCGGCUAACUCCGUGCCAGCAGCCGCGGUAAUAC
rnacentral:rRNA from 1 species